rnacentral:rRNA from 1 species
CUUCGGGUUGUAAAGUACUUUCAGUCGUGAGGAAGGUGGUGUAGUUAAUAGCUGCAUUAUUUGACGUUAGCGACAGAAGAAGCACCGGCUAACUCCGUGCCAGCAGCCGCGGUAAUACGGAGGGUGCGAGCGUUAAUCGGAAUUACUGGGCGUAAAGCGCAUGCAGGUGGUUUGUUAAGUCAGAUGUGAAAGCCCGGGGCUCAACCUCGGAAUAGCAUUUGAAACUGGCAGACUAGAGUACUGUAGAGGGGGGUAGAAUUUCAGGUGUAGCGGUGAAAUGCGUAGAGAUCUGAAGGAAUACCGGUGGCGAAGGCGGCCCCCUGGACAGAUACUGACACUCAGAUGCGAAAGCGUGGGGAGCAAACAGGAUUAGAUACCCUGGUAGUCCACGCCGUAAACGAUGUCUACUUGGAGGUUGUGGCCUUGAGCCGUGGCUUUCGGAGCUAACGCGUUAAGUAGACCGCCUGGGGAGUACGGUCGCAAGAUUAAAACUCAAAUGAAUUGACGGGGGCCCGCACAAGCGGUGGAGCAUGUGGUUUAAUUCGAUGCAACGCGAAGAACCUUACCUACUCUUGACAUCCAGAGAACUUUCCAGAGAUGGAUUGGUGCCUUCGGGAACUCUGAGACAGGUGCUGCAUGGCUGUCGUCAGCUCGUGUUGUGAAAUGUUGGGUUAAGUCCCGCAACGAGCGCAACCCUUAUCCUUGUUUGCCAGCGAGUAAUGUCGGGAACUCCAGGGAGACUGCCGGUGAUAAACCGGAGGAAGGUGGGGACGACGUCAAGUCAUCAUGGCCCUUACGAGUAGGGCUACACACGUGCUACAAUGGCGCAUACAGAGGGCGGCCAACUUGCGAAAGUGAGCGAAUCCCAAAAAGUGCGUCGUAGUCCGGAUUGGAGUCUGCAACUCGACUCCAUGAAGUCGGAAUCGCUAGUAAUCGUGGAUCAGAAUGCCACGGUGAAUACGUUCCCGGGCCUUGUACACACCGCCCGUCACACCAUGGGAGUGGGCUGCAAAAGAA